CAUGUAGGCGGGGUUUUAAGUCGGUGGUGAAAUUUUCCCGCUCAACGGGAAAAUUGCCGCCGAAACUGAGACUCUUGAGGACAGGAGGGGAGAGUGGAAUUGCUGGUGUAGCGGUGAAAUGCGUAGAGAUCAGCAAGAACACCCGUGGCGAAGGCGGCUCUCUAGACUGUUCCUGACGCUGAGAUGCGAAAGCCAGGGGAGCGAACGGGAUUAGAUACCCCGGUAGUCCUGGCCGUAAACUAUGGUCACUAGGUGUCGGGAGAUCGACCCUUUCGGCGCCGUAGCUAACGCAUUAAGUGACCCGCCUGGGGAGUACGGCCGCAAGGCUGAA
rnacentral:rRNA from 1 species